CAGUGUCAAGGACAGAGUAGCUGCAGAGGAAACUUAAAAAUGAAGUUGAUUCAAAGACCCUCCCAAACUGAGCAAGAACACCAAAAAACCUUCAAAAGCAACAUUUGCUGAGACAGCAGGAAUCAAAUUCUUCCAGAAAUUAAAUGCUUCUUUGCUCCCACUACAGACAAGAAGCCCAGUAUUGAACUUCAUGGAAACUGGACUUUCCUCAGAAAUUUUUCUUCCUCUUCUCCUUUUGUCAAUUUGGCCUCAAGUCACCACUUAAGGCCAAUAUUAGUUCAGCAUGGGUCAGAUCCCCAUUGUGUCAACAUGUCUGACAGAUGCCUUAAAGGAAAUGGUGGAAGACAAAAGCUCUUCAGUUGUUUAAACUUACGCUGCAUAAACUACUUCAGAUUAUAGAUGAACCUUGAACUCUCAGAAGUCUUUGGAGGAUGGAGCUGAAUGAUAUUCUGUGCUCUUGGGAAAAUUGUUUUCUUCUCACCACGUGGAAACAUAGACCUGGAGAAUCAGUGGAUAAUUUGAGCCAUGACGACAGAAGAUAGUGAAGCCUCUGGACCAUAUCAAGAGUGCUUCAGACGAGCAUCUGAACCUCCUGAAAAAUGAUGGGUGUAAGUCAAGUCCAUAUGACUGUGGCAUCUCUCUGAAACUUUUUCAUUCCCAGCAGUACUUUUGAGGGUGGGUGAUACAAAUAUAAUGAUGUACAAUCAUAUAAAUAAAUAUAUGCAGAAAUGGUAAGAAGUUGUGAAUUAUCCACUAAAAUAUUCCACCAAAAAUGUCAUCCUUUCUCUUUUUUUAAAAAUUUUUUUCUCCCCUGGAUUUUCCUUCUUUCUCAUUGUACUGCAAAAAAACCCAAGCUGAUCUUAAGGAAACCCAGUGUCAGUGCUCACUGAAUUUCUUUAUAAUGCACUACAUUAGAAGCGAAGCAAAGGGUUACGUCCUUCAGAAAUGUUGAACUGCACAAAUCCAUAUAUAGGUAUAUAGUCCACAAUUCUGCAGGAGCUGUUGUAUUCUCUUUUUCUCGGUUAGGAAGUUUUGGAAAUAGGAAUUUUUUCUUCCUAAUGUUAAUUUGAUUUCACUGUUUGGACUUAGAAGGUAUCUGUACGACCAUAUUCUGCCAGUGUUUCAAGAACUGUGUAUGCAGGUCUAAUCAAUAUGGUGCUAAAAUGCUGACAGAAGUCAAAAUAGGUUUUCUAGUCUAGGUGUAACAUUUCCCCUAAAACAUCCUUACUGUAGAAAAGGUGUGAAGUUCAAGGUACAUCCCGAGCAUGGUAACAGCCACCUUCAAGUCUUUUAAAUUCACUCUUUUCUGGAAUACAUACUUCCAAAAGAACUGGCCUAUUUACAGGAGGAGGUGUUCUGAAAAUCCUCUGGGAACUGCCUGCAGUGAAUGUGAUAGAGCUACAUAUAUUGCUCAAAAAUAAGAGGAAGAAAAUGUGUCCCCUCAAGAUGUUAACCAAAAAGGACACACUUUCCUCAUCUUAAACUGUAAUUAUUCUGUCUGCAUUAUAUCUGUUAUGGAGGUUAUAGCAACGAAGAAAAAUUCUGUAUUUUAGAAGGACGUUUUGACCAGCAAUAAGAAUGGGAAUAUAGUGUUGUUGUUUUCUUUUCCUUUAAUGUUAACAUCCAUUCAUCCUUAUCCAUAAAAUGAGGUAAUACACAGCAAUAAGUGAGAAAAAUUGAAAGGCAUACCUGCACCUCUGUUCGGCAGAAUCACCUAAUUAAAUGAAUUCAAAUUAUCGCCUGUUGGAUAUAGGACCUUAUAGUGAAGGACACAUAUUUUCAAAAUACUGUGCUAAAAGUAAAAUCCCAGAAAAGCUAAACAUUGAUUAUAAAUAGACUGCUCUGUGUCAGAAAACAAAUAUAUGUACAUCUUAAAAGAAACCUUUCCCGUUAGAUAGCAGUUAAAAAGCUCUACUCACCAAAAGGUUUGUACGGCAUAAAGUAUUGAAGAUUUAUUGUUUUAUGUGUUCAGAUAGUGUUGUUGUCUUGGUAGCUUAUGACGUUAUUUGGCUCAUUGAUUUAUCUUUCAUUGAUUUGUAUGAAUCUAGAUUUCCUGAGAAUGUACUCUGUCUUAGGAGUUUUUUUGGAAGGUAUUAAAAUGAUGAAAGCUGUUGAUGUGAUAGCCGUGGGGACUGAAGACAUCUAUUGAUGUUCUGCUGUUUAAGAAAACCUGAUGUAAAUUUCCCCACACUAAUCCAUUAAUUUGUCUCAAAUCUUGCUGGGAAGGAAAAUUUCUGGGGUGAUAUUUCAUCUUCCAUGUCCCUUACGUCCAUGAGUCUGAAGCUGUCAUAAGGUAAUGGUGAUGACCAAACUUCUGACACAUAAAAAAGAAUUCAAGCAUCACUAACACUGACCCUGAACAUCCAUCAGAUUAAAAGAUUCCUUUCAAAAUAUAUUUAUAGAGUCUAGUAAUGAAUUAAAGAAAACAUUACACUGCUUUCAGAAUAUCAUCUAGCUCUUCCUUGUGUUGCAUUCAGCUGUUGAUUUAGAGGUGGAAGGCUUGGUAGCCUAGUAUUGUUCCCCUGAGUCAUCUAGUCUCUGCAUCUGUGAACAUCUCUAGAGCAGUUCCAUGGUCUGUAGCAAAAUACUUAUCAGGGGAAUAAAGCUGAUUACCUGCAGACUUCCUUGCUCUGGAAUUUAAAUACAAAAUUUUGUAGCUUUUUUUCUUUCUUCCCAGAAACACUUAUAUGUAAAACCUCAGUUUGUUUUCUGUAACCUUGUUAUGAAUUUCAUUUAGAGGUACAUUCUAAUA